AGAGUACUUCAUGCGGCCGCCGCUUUCACUGGAAGCGGAGGAAAGUCCGGGCUCCACAGGGCAGGGCGCUGGAGAAAGUUCCAGUGGGUGCGAACCCAAGGAAAGUGCCACAGAAACAUACCGCCCGACACUCACUCACAGGCUGAAACACAUAAAAUAAUCCGACCGGGUCGGGUUGUAGCCAGUUUCAACCAACUGGUGAGUGCCGGGUAAGGGUGAAAAGGUGAGGUAAGAGCUCACCAGCCGCCGGGUGACCUGCGGGCUAGGCAAACCCCGCCCGGAGCAAGACCGAAUAGGAGGGGAUGAGGUUGCCCGCCGACCCUCGGGUACGGUCGCUUGAGGCCGGGCGCAAGUCCGGUCGUAGAGAAAUGGUCGCUUAACACAGAACCCGGCUUACGGGGUGCUCUCUUU
rfam:Synergistales bacterium 54_9 MPJ_scaffold_1745, whole genome shotgun sequence.